rnacentral:lncRNA from 1 species
GGGUAAAGUAUCAUCACGUGUGUGCCCGUCGAUACCGAUCGGUCGUGGUUGUUAUUAUUAUCAUAAUCGGUAGUAAUAAUAGUAGUGUAAAGUAGAUAGUAGUAGUGAUAGUAGUAGCGGUUGUAGUCGUAGUGGUAGUAGUAGUAGUAGUAUUUGAGUGGUAGUAUAGUUGUAGCAGUAAUAAUAGCACCUAAUUUGUUACAUACAAAUAUAUAUAUUUUUUUUUUUAUUCCUCCCGGGAUAGACUAUGCACCGCCACCGCAGUGUUUGAUAUUAUAAUGACUUAUGUCUUCCGACGCCCGAGAGCGAUUUUUAUAAUAAUUGCCGUAACGCAAUUUUAUUAAUAUUUCCCUCUGCCCAAACCCAAUUGACCCCUUGCAUACCGGAUGAAAUAGUCACAUAUAAAACGUCAUAAUAUUACGGAUAUAUUGCCUCGCAAAAAAUAAUUCUCGAUACGCGGGAUCACUAUAAUUGAUAAGUGAGACUUAAUUAUUCGUUUAUAAAUUUACGUGAAUGUGAAUAUAAUUCAUAAUGAAUAUAUAAAUCAACGCAUCAUAAUAUAUUUUUUAUAAUCCUGAAUUAUUUAAAUUGCAAAUUCAUAAAAUACAUUUAAUGCAUUAAAAACUUGAUCAUUACAUAAAUCUAUUAAAAUAUUAUUAUAAUGAUUUAAUAUGUUACAAUAUUUUAUUAUAUGUAGUUGCAUGGCCGGAAGAGAGUGGGGCAGGAGGACCAGAAACCCAAAGCCCGGAUCGCUAGGAGCUCGUCGUCCCGACUCUACAUACAUGUAACUUUUAUUAUCAUUCACCGUACCUUUUUUUUUGAUAAAGUAAACUACAAUCUAUACAAUAGUAUGUACGAUUAAUUUAUUGACGCACUGUUUACUUCUGGUGAACCAGCGAAAAAAGUCCAGGUCAUGAAUAUUUUAAGUAUGGGUUUAUUUUACUGGAUAAUAUGCCACAAUGUUUUAUUUGAACAUAUAUUUUACUGAACAAUGUCUUUUUGAAUUAUUUAUUGAAACAACAAAAAAUGAAAAUUUGGACUGGAAUAAAUGUAUUUCAGUGUAUUCUGAGAGUAACGUAUACGUAAGAGUAAUAACAGGGAAAAUUAGUGGUUUGAUAGUAAAAUUAAAAGAAUUAAUACUACAUUUUGAAUGGACACACUGUUUUCUUAAUUACCAGUUGAGACUCACAACCAACUUAUAGAAUUAUCAGCUGAUAAAACAUUACAACUAGAAUUUUCAUCUCAAGAUUUGAAUAAAUUUUGGCUUGCUCGGAGAAAUGAAUAUGGAAAUUUGGUAAUAGAGGCAUUGAAAAUUUUGAUUCCGUUCGCUACUUCUUAUUUAUGCGAAAAAGGAUUCUCAUCCAUAGUAGCAAUAAAAACUAAAUAUAGAAAUCGUUUGUUAUCACUAGAAAAAAUAACUUACUUUUAUGUGUUUCAGAUGUUGAACCACACAUUAAGCAACUUUUAAAUGUAAAACAAAUUUAACGAUCAUACUAAUUAUUUAUUUUAUAAUGUUUCUUCAUUUUUUUUAUGUAUAUCCUUAUUGAGCUA